GUAGGUGGCAAGCGUUGUCCGGAAUUAUUGGGCGUAAAGCGCGCGCAGGCGGUUCUUUAAGUCUGAUGUGAAAGCCCACGGCUCAACCGUGGAGGGUCACUGGAAACUGGAGAACUUGAGUACAGAAGAGGAAAGCGGAAUUCCACGUGUAGCGGUGAAAUGCGUAGAGAUGUGGAGGAACACCAGUGGCGAAGGCGGCUUUCUGGUCUGUAACUGACGCUGAGGCGCGAAAGCGUGGGGAGCAAACAGGAUUAGAUACCCUGGUAGUCCACGCCGUAAACGAUGAGUGCUAAGUGUUAGGGGGGUUUCCGCCCCCCUUAGUGCUGCAGCUAACGCAUUAAGCACUCCGCCUGGGAUACGGCCGCAAGGCUG
rnacentral:rRNA from 1 species